rnacentral:rRNA from 1 species
UACGUAGGGGGCGAGCGUUGUCCGGAUUCAUUGGGCGUAAAGAGCUCGUAGGCGGCUGUUCAAGUCGAACGUGAAAACUCGGAGCUCAACUCCGAGCCUGCGUUCGAUACUGGAUGGCUAGAGUCUGGUAGGGGGAUCUGGAAUUCCUGGUGUAGCGGUGGAAUGCGCAGAUAUCAGGAAGAACACCCGUGGCGAAGGCGGCUCUCUGGGACGGUACUGACGCUGAGACGCGAAAGCGUGGGGAGCGAACAGG